AAAUUAGAAGGCAUCUUUUAAUUUUUAAAAAACCUUUUUUGAAAGGUAUACUUAAAGAGGGGCUUGCGGCACAUUAGUUAGUUGGUAGGGUAAAAGCCUACCAAGACCAUGAUGUGUAGCUGGACUGAGAGGUUGAACAGCCACAUUGGGACUGAGACACGGCCCAAACUCCUACGGGAGGCAGCAGUAGGGAAUUUUCGGCAAUGGAGGAAACUCUGACCGAGCAACGCCGCGUGAACGAUGAAGUAUUUCGGUAUGUAAAGUUCUUUUAUUGAAGAAGAAAAAAUAGUGGAAAAACUAUCUUGACGAUAUUCAAUGAAUAAGCCCCGGCAAACUAUGUGCCAGCAGCCGCGGUAAUACAUAGGGGGCGAGCGUUAUCCGGAAUUAUUGGGCGUAAAGGGUGCGUAGGCGGUUUGGUAAGUCUAUAGUUUAAUUUCAGUGCUUAACACUGUUCUGCUAUAGAAACUAUCAGACUAGAGUGAGAUAGAGGCAAGUGGAAUUCCAUGUGUAGCGGUAAAAUGCGUAAAUAUAUGGAGGAACACCAGAGGCGUAGGCGGCUUGCUGGGUCUUUACUGACGCUGAGGCACGAAAGCGUGGGGAGCAAACAGGAUUAGAUACCCUGGUAGUCCACGCCGUAAACGAUGAGUACUAAGUGUCGGGGAAACUCGGUACUGAAGUUAACACAUUAAGUACUCCGCCUGAGUAGUACGUACGCAAGUAUGAAACUUAAAGGAAUUGACGGGACUCCGCACAAGCGGUGGAUCAUGUUGUUUAAUUCGAAGAUACACGAAAAACCUUACCAGGUCUUGACAUACUCUGCAAAGCUAUAGCAAUAUAGUGGAGGUUAUCAGGGAUACAGGUGGUGCAUGGUUGUCGUCAGCUCGUGUCGUGAGAUGUUAGGUUAAGUCCUAAAACGAGCGCAACCCUUGUCACUAGUUGCCAGCAUGUUAUGAUGGGCACUUUAGUGAGACUGCCAAUGAAAAAUUGGAGGAAGGUGAGGAUCACGUCAAAUCAUCAUGCCCCUUAUGAUCUGGGCUACAAACGUGAUACAAUGGCUGUUACAAAGAGUAGCUAAAACGCGAGUUUAUAGCCAAUCUCAUAAAAGCAGUCUCAGUUCGGAUUGAAGUCUGCAACUCGACUUCAUGAAGUUGGAAUCGCUAGUAAUCGCGAAUCAGCAUGUCGCGGUGAAUACGUUCUCGGGGUUUGUACACACCGCCCGUCAAACCACGAAAGUUGGUAAUACUCAAAAACGGUAGCCUAACUUCUUCGGAAGAGGGAACUGU
rnacentral:rRNA from 1 species